GAUCAAAGAGGCUUGGUUCUGUGUCACUGGGAUAGAAGUGUCUUCCAGUAAUUUGGGCAACGUUGGCGAUGACCAUCCGAAGUGAAAUCCAGUCGCGGUAAAUAGCAGCGAGGCUAAUCGAGCUUGAAAAUGCUUCAUAAAGAUUCCGUGAUCGUUCAACAGGAAUGUUGUCACAUAGGCGAAAUAUUUGCCGUAAAAAAUGACGUUCAUCAGCUCCGUUGGUUUUCAAUUGGAAGUACGACGCCAUACCUACGUUACGAAAAUCACACUUUUCAAUGACGAGGUAUCGGAUAUUACAUUCACGGCGAAACCGCCACAACAUACAUACUUAUUAGAAAUAUGAUGCUGAAAAACAUGGAUCCAAGCAGUAAUGGUCUUCUGCCUAUUCUGUCGGCUAUAAACAAAGGCGCAAACGAGGCAACGAAUUGAAUGAGUCCGAUUACGAUGACGGAAAUGCUGGAAGUUGCACCGGAUCCAGUUUCGUUGAGAAUGAUUGUACUGUACGACAAGACAGCGAGUAUACCGGAUAAUUGUUGACAGGUGAAGAGGACAAUAAGGAGCCCCUGCGAAUCAAUGGAAAGGUCAAGGCGAAUCAGCCAUUGAAGACUCUUCCUGGCGAGUUCUGGUCUAUUUUUCAUGAUGUAAAAAUAUGGGGAUUCCGGUAUCCAGACGAAGGUAGCAAGGGAUACGACUGGAAUCGCUAUCGUUGCGAGUGAAAGUAAGCUGACCCAUGGACCAACGCUGUAGACCAACACCAGCCCCGAGUUGUACAUAACUAUGACCAGCAGACCAAGACCCCCGCGAAUUUUGUCCUCUGCAAUUUCUCCUAUAUACAUAAGGAUGACGACGAAGGCGACUGACCCCGAAGCGCCGAUAACGAACCUUGUAACAAGUAAUGUAGAUCCUCAUUAUACGAAUUCCAAAUUUAGUGGCUUAUCAAACCUUGGAGCCAGUAUGCCUGUUGCAAAGAUCGAUUACAUCGCAGCUUGUACCUGUACCUUGCCACGUAGUACCACCAGCAGUUUCGAGCAAAAGUUAUAAGGACGCCUGAGGCUAGACAUGGAAUCGAUAGAAGUAACAGUAACGUCUUUCUCCCUCAUCUAUCGACCAUCAGGAAACUGCACGGUCCUCCGAUGGCCCCACCGAAUGCCAAAGUGCUAACGAUGCAGGGGACUUCUUUCGAAUUUAUUGGAAAGGACGUAUCUUCCAGUAGUUUAGGCAACGAUGGCGAUGCCCAUCCAAUGUGGAAUCCAGCGGUAAACGACAGGAUUGUGCCUAAUCAAGGAAACGUUUUCAAAGCUUUUUUUUUUAUGUAGGUCAUAAUCUGGCGUAAGUUUUGUUAAUUUUAUAAUUACACAAUAACCUGAAGCGUCGAUCAGACUUUGAGAUAUUUGUGUUAGUUAACUGUGAUCCUAAUUAUGUUAGAGAAAUUUCACUUAAGAAGCUCAUUUGUACUCAAAUUAUAAUGCGUAACAAGUUCGACAAAGUUACCUGACAAAGUCGCCAAAACUUGCGGGCCAAUUAGUUUUAUUUUUUUCAUAGUUCACGCUUUAAAAAAGUUGAGAUCCUCAAAUCCUGCGAACGAUGCGAUCCAGAUGUUGAUUUUUUGGUUGCAUGCGUGAAAUCCAGCCGAAUGUUUUGCUGAUUUUUAAAAAGUUGAUCAAUCAAACCGUUAGCCACU